rnacentral:lncRNA from 1 species
AGAAACUUUCUAUCCAUUUUGCUAACUUGUGGGUUUUUGCCAUAUUUCCCAUUUCUUUGGUACCAUAGUUGAGCAUGGAUCUUUGUAAAGUGAUUUACUCAUGUGGGGUUUACAUGAGGGGUUUGAAAGAGCCAAAACAAUUGCAUUGUUUUGAGAAAAUGAAUGCAUCAUGAUUUCGUUAAACAUUCCUUAUGGUAUGCUUGUUCCCUUUCUUGUUCACUCACUGAGUUUAUGCUCACCGCUUUCAACUUCAUGUUUUCAGAUUACGAGGCAGUUGGUAACUAGGUUGAGGUACCUUUGUAGACUCGACUAUUGGUAGGUGUCUUGGCAUUUAGUAGCUGUACAUUCGUCAAGUUUCUUCGCUAGACAUCGAGUCUUCUUUUG